ensembl:lncRNA
ACGCUCACGCACCCAGACCCUGAUUACAGGCGGGUGGACAACACCCCUGGAGCCACAGAGCUCGGUUUCCCCCCCAGCGGCAGGAGCAACUCUCAGCAGCCAGGCAGCGGGGCGGCACGGCCAAAGGCCGCAGUCGGGAUCCCAGCCCCGAUUCCAGGGAGGGCGCAAGCCCCACCCCGCAUCUCACGGCCCCGCGCCUCUGAAAGGCCGGGGCCACAUUCCCACCUGAGUACAGGGGGUCUCUCAGAACGCAGCUCACCAAGCACACACGGGGGGCACACACAGCCCUGCCUACAGGACGGUACCCCCACACCUCACCCUCUUCAAGAAGCCCCGCGGAGCACGAGGCUCCCGCCAACGCCUGAGUUACAGGCUGGCCCGCCCGGCAGCACCAGAACAUCACCAACGUCUCGUCUUUGGAAGCCCAGGGAGCUACCUCGACCCACCGAGCGGGGAGGUCACCCCACACACAAACAGCACCUCAACCUGCACCCUCUGACGGGACAGGGAGGGGUCACUCCCACCAGCUGGAUGGCUAAAGCAGCCGGCUGCAACGCUGCAGCCUCCCCACACCUGAUUACAGGGCGGGCGGGCUGCUCAGGGACAGAGGGCUCCGAAGCUUGGGACACACACCCCGAGUACGGGGCUGUCACCGCCGCCAGCAGGACAGGCGGCCACGCAAGGACAGGCCCAAGCCCUGGCUACAGGGAGGCCUUGGCCACAGAACUACCGUGUGGCUCUGAUCUGCACUAAGGAAAAUAGUAGGAAGACAGGACACUCGCUGCGCUCGCAGGACUAAGAGGGAACACCCCUUUUGCGGCAUGCACCAAAGUCCUCCAUUCCCCCCUGGGAAGUCAAAGCUAAGCUGCAGCCAUCUUUGUGGAGGCCUAAAGGGAAAGCACAGCCGCUCAACCACUCCACAAACACAAUCAAGGAAAGGAAGGGGAACACGCACACACAGGCACGACUUUCCAGAAGGGAAGGACAACGCAGCACAGCCAACACCUGGGAAUAAACCCACAACCACGGGCAACAGACAAGAGCCUGUGACCUGUCCCUAGGCUGCACGGAGGCCACAGACCUCAACGUGCCAAGGGGCUUCUCAGGUAAAGCCAACGGCCAAAUGCCGUGACGCACACCCGAGUACGGGGCCGUCGCAUUGACAGCCACCAUCAGGCAACGAUGCCGAGGGGCCGGGGGAGGAAGAGGGGCAGGGAAACGGCACUACCCUGCUUACAGGGUGGCCUCGGGGUCCGGCGAGCUCCAUUUCCCACUCAGGUGCGGAGAGGUGGCUCUCGCCCUCCGUUACAGGGGGCCACGCUCCCCAGGCAGCCAAAGGAGCAGCAAGGCAAAAGGCCAACUACAGCAAAGACCCGAGCCCCGCUUACGGGGAGGUCGCCCAGCACAACGCCAGCCUGGUCACCAAAGGCGCCGGCAGCUCUCAACUCAAACGUGACUGUGCCCCUGCUAACGGGACAGGUGCUUUGCCCAGGGAGCCUCUCUCCUUCCCCCCCACAUCUGCACGCUUCCGCUUCCUCUUCUUGCUUGCUCCUGCCUCCCAGGUCCCACGCCGCUGCUUCUUCUUCUUCCUUCUGCAGCAGCUCCUGAAACAUCAGCGGGGACACCGUUAGACCUGCAGGGUGGCAAGCCCCCCCACCUGAAGGUAAAGGCAAACACAGCAUCGCUAAGGAACUCGGCACG